GGACACCACAGAAUAAAGAGAGCUGUUCCAACUUCCCUGGGAUCCACUGAUUGGAAAGUUAUUGUAGUGGACCUGUCACAGAGCCCACAAGACCUGCAGGCGUACGAUAUGGAGCUGGACAAGAAAACCUACCUCGCACUCAACCCUGUGAUGAACCCCAU